GUGCCAGCAGCCGCGGUAAUACGUAGGGCGCAAGCGUUGUCCGGAAUUAUUGGGCGUAAAGAGCUCGUAGGCGGUUGUCGCGUCUGCUGUGAAAACCCGAGGCUCAACCUCGGGCCUGCAGUGGGUACGGGCAGACUAGAGUGCGGUAGGGGAGACUGGAACUCCUGGGUGUAGCGGUGGAAUGCGCAGAUAUCAGGAAGAACACCAAUGGCGAAGGCAGGUCUCUGGGCCGUAACUGACGCUGAGGAGCGAAAGCAUGGGGAGCGAACAGGAUUAGAUACCCUGGUAGUCCAUGCCGUAAACGUUGGGCGCUAGACGUGGGGACCUUUCCACGGUUCCGUGUCGUAGCUAACGCAUUAAGCGCCCCGCCUGGGGAGUACGGCCGCAAGGCUAAAACUCAAAGGAAUUGACGGGGCCCGCACAAGCGGCGGAGCAUGCGGAUUAAUUCGAUGCAACGCGAAGAACCUUACCAAGGCUUGACAUAUAGAGGAAACGGCUAGAGAUAGUCGCCCCGCAAGGUCUCUAUACAGGUGG
rnacentral:rRNA from 1 species